rnacentral:rRNA from 1 species
GACGCGUAGCGGGACUGAGAGGUUGGCCCGCCACAUCGGGACUGAGACACUGCCCGGACACCUACGGGUGGCUGCAGUAACGAAUAUUCCGCAAUGGGCGAAAGCCUGACGGAGCGACGCCGCGUGCAGGAGGAAGUCCUUCGGGAUGUAAACUGCUGUCAGGGGCUAGGAAGGCAUGACCAGCCCCAGAGGAAGUCUUGGCUAACUCCGUGCCAGCAGCCGCGGUAAUACGGAGAAGGCAAGCGUUUCGGAAUCACUGGGCUUAAAGCGCGUGUAGGCGGGCCUGUCAGUCGGGUGUGAAAUCCCUCGGCUUAACCGGGGAACUGUGCCCGAAACUGCAGGUCUUGAGUCAAUCAGGGGUCGAUGGAACUCCAGGUGGAGCGGUGAAAUGCGUAGAUAUCUGGAGGAACGCCAGUGGCGAAAGCGGUCGACUGGGAUUGUACUGACGCUGAGACGCGAAAGCGUGGGGAGCGAACGGGAUUAGAUACCCCGGUAGUCCACGCCGUAAACGAUGCACACUAGGCUGAGGGAGUUCUGACGCUUUCUCGGCCGUAGCAAAAGCGUUAAGUGUGCCGCCUGGGGAGUACGGUCGCAAGGCUAAAACUCAAAGGAAUUGACGGGGGCUCACACAAGCGGUGGAGCAUGUGGAUUAAUUCGAAGCAACGCGAAGGACCUUACCUGGGUUUGACAUGCACGGAUGAAACCUGUGAAAGCAGGGGACUGCCUUCGGGUGAAACGUGCACAGGUGCUGCAUGGCUGUCGUCAGCUCGUGCUGUGAAGUGUCGGGUUAAGUCCCUUAACGAGCGAAACCCUUGUCGCUAGUUGCCAGCGCGUAAUGGCGGGGACUCUAGCGAGACUGCCGGUGUUAAACCGGAGGAAGGUGGGGAUGACGUCAAGUCCUCAUGGCCUUUAUACCCAGGGCCUCACACGUGCUACAAUGGCCGGUACAGAGUGACGCAAGACCGCGAGGUGGAGCAAAUCACGAAAACCGGUCCCAGUUCGGAUUGCAGGCUGCAACUCGCCUGCAUGAAGUCGGAAUCGCUAGUAAUCGCGUAUCAGCUAUGACGCGGUGAAUAUGUUCCUGAGCCCCGUCAAGUCAUGGAGGCUGGGAGUACCCGAAGUCGGCCCGUCAAAAGGCUGCCGAAGGUAAGCUCGGUGACUGGGACUAAGUCGGAACAAGGUAGCCGUAGGGGAACCUGCGGCUG